rnacentral:rRNA from 1 species
GAUGAACGCUGGCGGCGUGCCUAAUACAUGCAAGUCGAGCGAACAGACGAGGAGCUUGCUCCUCUGACGUUAGCGGCGGACGGGUGAGUAACACGUGGAUAACCUACCUAUAAGACUGGGAUAACUUCGGGAAACCGGAGCUAAUACCGGAUAAUAUAUUGAACCGCAUGGUUCAAUAGUGAAAGACGGUUUUGCUGUCACUUAUAGAUGGAUCCGCGCCGCAUUAGCUAGUUGGUAAGGUAACGGGUUACCAAGGCAACGAUGCGUAGCCGACCUGAGAGGGUGAUCGGCCACACUGGAACUGAGACACGGUCCAGACUCCUACGGGAGGCAGCAGUAGGGAAUCUUCCGCAAUGGGCGAAAGCAUGACGGAGCAACGCCGCGUGAGUGAUGAAGGUCUUCGGAUCGUAAAACUCUGUUAUUAGGGAAGAACAAAUGUGUAAGUAACUAUGCACGUCUUGACGGUACCUAAUCAGAAAGCCACGGCUAACUACGUG